rnacentral:ribozyme from 14 species
AUGAAAAGAAAAGAAAAGAAAAGAAAGCAAAACCUUCCGUUUUUUGCUCUACUUCCAUAGCGCUUAUGAAUUU